GUGAUCGCACCGGCACCAAUGCACCAGAUCCCAUCAGAAGACCACAGUUCAGUGUGCUUGGGCGAGAGUAAUACUAGGAAGGGUGACCACCUGGGAAGUCCUCGUGUUGCUCACC